rnacentral:tRNA from 1 species
GCGCUGUUAGCUCAGUUGGUAGAGCAAGGGACUCUUAAUCCCGAGGUCCAGGGUUCAAGCCCCUGACAGCGCA